UGGGGAAUAUUGGACAAUGGGGGCAACCCUGAUCCAGCAAUGCCGCGUGUGUGAAGAAGGUCUUCGGAUUGUAAAGCACUUUCGACGGGGACGAUGAUGACGGUACCCGUAGAAGAAGCCCCGGCUAACUUCGUGCCAGCAGCCGCGGUAAUACGAAGGGGGCUAGCGUUGCUCGGAAUGACUGGGCGUAAAGGGCGUGUAGGCGGUUUACACAGUCAGAUGUGAAAUCCCCGGGCUUAACCUGGGAGCUGCAUUUGAUACGUGUAGACUAGAGUGUGAGAGAGGGUUUGUGGA
rnacentral:rRNA from 1 species